ensembl:lncRNA
GGGAAGUGAUGCCAGGACUUGCAAGUGAAUUGGAUUUCAGUGAGGAAGGGCUGUGCAAAGUGACCAGCCUCACUUUCUCCUCUGGAGCAUCUGGGUCCAGUGGCCAGAUAUAGAUCAGGAUGUCUGGAGAUGACCACAGCUGCAGUGGGAGACCUUGGCCUUUUUCAGCUAAGGUCUUUCCCGGGUCUCAUUUUGACUGAUGCAACACCCAUUCAUUCAGUGCUUAAGGCUAUGUAAGUAGAAAUGAGGCAACGAAUGGCCUGUUUUACCAGUCAGGAAAAGAAACAAACCAACCAAUCCUCUGGGAGGGGAAGACUCUCAGGGUUUCUGGCCACAAUACAAACAGCUGCUGUCUACAUUCACUUUGAGCCAAUCCGGACCCACACAAUGACCAGACAUGGCCUAGACUGGGACCUCUCCUUGGUCAAUCAAUGAGAGGCAGCGUGACUUGGGUUUAAGGCAUGGUUCUUACAAAAGAAAUCUACCCUGUAAACCCCCAGAUAUCUUUUGAGGUUUCCGUGAUCAAAAGAGAGAAACAGUGCCUGACCUCAGGAAGUUUACGUCUAAGGGACAGCGACAACACAGGCGUGGAGAAGUCAAUAAAAGGCAGGUAACUAAGUGUUAAUGCCCGGGGAGGAGGGGGGGAGAGUGGGGCAGUGCCACCGCAAGGCACGCCGGGACUCUUGGUCUUUCCCCGCCCCUCCAUAGCAUUUGGCCACCGCCCCUCCCCUCAGGGGUGCCUCUAAGACUAAAAGUGGAAGCAAAGGCGUUUACCUUGCCUCCUAUCGAUGUUGACUGUCACCCGGGAAGGCCAAGAGGCGGCCCGGACUGUAUUUCCCACUAUCGGCCGCGCCUUCUGUUUUGAAAAUCCUUGCUUCCCGCCUCAGGCCUCGUCUACUGAAGCGGCCGCAUUGUCUUUGCCGGAGUCGAGGGCCUCGGGACGCGGGGCGAGGCGGGCCGGGCCUGGUGGAGCAAGCUAGGUGAGGCCGCCCCCGCGUCCUCGUCCUCUCCGGGGGCGGCUCCCCUUCCCCCCGCAGGGGGGCCGGCCUCGCGGAGGCGCGUCUAUCCCGGCGGACCCUCGGCCUCACCAGAUGACCGCCUGAGGGCCGUAAGAGACUUUUUGCAGGCAGGGAAACUGAGGCAGGCCUUUGCGACCUCUGUUUCCUCACCUGUGAAACGACGGGGUCGGAUUGGUCGCUCAGUGUUGGUGGCUAGCAGUCAAAGGAGGAGCGACUGGCUGAGGAGGAGGCCCGGGAGAAAGCUAAGAAGCUGGAGGAGGCCGAAGGGAGGUGGAAGAGGCUUCAGCAGCUCCAGGAGGAGGAAAAGCGGAGGUGCCAGGAGCAGCUGCGACGGAAGAAGAGGAGCGUCUGUGGAAGGUGGCUGAGGCCCGGAGAAUCAUGAAGCAGGAGAAGCAGCAGCUGGCCCUUGAGAGGGAGCCCGAGAAGCUGCAGGAAAAGUGGUUAGGGCCUGCCCACUGGUCAUGCCUUCUCUGCCUGUGUGCGUGUGUGUGUGUGUGUGUGUGUGUGUGUGUGUGUGUGUGUUGUGUGUGUGUGAGAGAGAGAGAGGCUGUGAGAUUGUGAAUGUGUGUGACAGGGAUUGGGUGUGUAUGUCACUGUGAGAGACUGAGUGUGAAUGAGAUCCCAGCAGACCCACCCCAACAGGGGCUUUGCCAAGCUGUGCUUGGGCAGCAGGGCAUGUGGGCGAUGUUCCAGACUGCAGGUGAGAUCUAGGCUCACGUCUUGGCUCUGUCAUUUACUCUCAAUGUGGCCUUAAGCCCAUCCCUUCUCCCCUCCAAGACUCGGUUUCCUUUCCUGAAAAGUGGGGGUGAUAAUUGGACACUGUCAUGAGACUCGCCCACCACCUCGGGGGAGCCCAAGGUUGUGGUGGUGUUGCUGGUAGUGCAGGGCUGUGGAGACGAUGGGUUUUCAGGUCAGGGAGCAGUUGGGGUCAGGGACAAUACACACGAUUCUCCAGGCAGAACCUGUUCUGCUGCAUUUUUCCUGCACUGUUCUGGGCCAGCUCAUCGUCUUAUCUAGAAUUCAAGUGAGCAUCUUGAUCCCUCACACUCAGCACAGAGCAGAUCAGUUACUAAGUCAAGGCCUUUUCCCUUUAUCUGUGUAUAUACCCAUUGGGGUGACCAACUGUGUGGGAUAAUGGGGGCAGGAUGUAUUCUUCAUCUACUUUGUUUUCCAGUGUAGGCAGCUAGGCCCAUCUCCUUCACUGUUUUAAAGUCUCACAAUGCUUUUAAGAGGUGUGCAUUUGCGGGUAUUAUCCUCAUCUUGCAGAUAAGAAAACUGAGGCUUAGAGGAGUUAAGAGACUUGCUUAUAACACAAAUAUUAAUUGUUGGCAGAAGGAUUCAAGCCCAAGGAAGUGUUUAUUUUUA